GCGGCGUGGAUAAGACAUGCAAGUCGAACGGGAGAAUUGCUAGCUUGCUAAUAAUUCUCUAGUGGCGCACGGGUGAGUAACACGUGAGUAACCUGCCUCUUAGUGGGGGAUAGCCCUGGGAAACCGGGAUUAAUACCGCAUACGAUUGAAAGAUCAAAGCAGCAAUGCGCUAGGAGAUGGGCUCGCGGCCUAUUAGUUAGUUGGUGAGGUAACGGCUCACCAAGGCGAUGACGGGUAGCCGGUCUGAGAGGAUGUCCGGCCACACUGGAACUGAGACACGGUCCAGACACCUACGGGUGGCAGCAGUCGAGAAUCAUUCACAAUGGGGGCAACCCUGAUGGUGCGACGCCGCGUGGGGGAAUGAAGGUCUUCGGAUUGUAAACCCCUGUCAUGUGGGAGCAAAUUAAAAAGAUAGUACCACAAGAGGAAGAGACGGCUAACUCUGUGCCAGCAGCCGCGGUAAUACAGAGGUCUCAAGCGUUGUUCGGAAUCACUGGGCGUAAAGCGUGCGUAGGCUGUUUCGUAAGUCGUGUGUGAAAGGCAGGGGCUCAACCCCUGGAUUGCACAUGAUACUGCGAGACUAGAGUAAUGGAGGGGGAACCGGAAUUCUCGGUGUAGCAGUGAAAUGCGUAGAUAUCGAGAGGAACACUCGUGGCGAAGGCGGGUUCCUGGACAUUAACUGACGCUGAGGCACGAAGGCUAGGGGAGCGAAAGGGAUUAGAUACCCCUGUAGUCCUGGCAGUAAACGGUGCACGCUUGGUGUGCGGGGAAUCGACCCCCUGCGUGCCGGAGCUAACGCGUUAAGCGUGCCGCCUGGGGAGUACGGUCGCAAGAUUAAAACUCAAAGAAAUUGACGGGGACCCGCACAAGCGGUGGAGUAUGUGGCUUAAUUCGAUGCAACGCGAAGAACCUUACCUGGGCUUGACAUGUAAUGAACAACAUGUGAAAGCAUGCGACUCUUCGGAGGCGUUACACAGGUGCUGCAUGGCCGUCGUCAGCUCGUGUCGUGAGAUGUUUGGUUAAGUCCAGCAACGAGCGCAACCCCUGUUGCCAGUUACCAGCACGUCAAGGUGGGGACUCUGGCGAGACUGCCCAGAUCAACUGGGAGGAAGGUGGGGACGACGUCAGGUCAGUAUGGCCCUUAUGCCCAGGGCUGCACACGUACUACAAUGCCCAGUACAGAGGGGGCCGAAGCCGCGAGGCGGAGGAAAUCCUGAAAACUGGGCCCAGUUCGGACUGUAGGCUGCAACCCGCCUACACGAAGCCGGAAUCGCUAGUAAUGGCGCAUCAGCUACGGCGCCGUGAAUACGUUCCCGGGUCUUGUACACACCGCCCGUCACAUCAUGGAAGCCGGUCGCACCCGAAGUAUCUGAAGCCAACCGCAAGGAGGCAGGGUCCUAAGGUGAGACUGGUAACUGGGAUGAAGUCAUAA
rnacentral:rRNA from 1 species